rnacentral:lncRNA from 1 species
UUGAAGGGUUAAGGUCCUUGGACUCUGAAUCAUGUACUUCUUUAUAUAAAUGAUAUCAGCUUUGAUGAAAGAAAUACUCUUGGUCAUGGUUAUGGGAAUGGGAGCCAUGGGAGAGUGAAGAGUGAUUUAAGAAAAUUUGGGCAGGGUAAGAAGAGAGGAAAGAUUAUAUCAGUACAGUUCAGCUGUGCCUCCCACCCAGGU